rnacentral:rRNA from 1 species
GACGAACGCUGGCGGCGUGCUUAACACAUGCAAGUCGAACGGAGUGGCGAGCGGGUGAGUAACACGUGGGUGACCUGCCCUGCACUUCGGGCUAAUCCAGGGAGACUGGGUCUCAUACCAGUUAGUGGGGGAUGGACCCGCGGCCUAUCAGCUUGUUGGUGGGGUAGUGGCCUACCAAGGCGGCGACGGGUAGCCGGCCUGAGAGGGGGGACGGCCACAUUGGGACUGAGACACGGCCCAGACUCCUACGGGAGGCAGCAGUGGGGAAUAUUGCGCAAUGGGGGGAAGCCUGAUGCAGCGACGCCGCGUGGGGGAUGACGGCCUUCGGGUUGUAAACCCCUUUCACCAUCGACGCGGUAGAUGGAGAAGAAGCACCGGCUAACUACGUGCCAGCAGCCGCGGUAAUAC